rnacentral:rRNA from 1 species
UACGUAGGGUGCGAGCGUUAGGCGGAAUCACUGGGCUUAAAGCGUGUGUAGGUGGAUGCCUAAGUACCUUGUGAAAUCCCACGGCUUAGCCGUGGAACUGCUUGGUAUACUGGGUGUCUUGAGUCACUCAGGGGCGAGCGGAACAAAUGGUGGAGCGGUGAAAUGCGUAGAUAUCAUUUGGAACGCCAAUGGUGAAAACAGCUCGCUGGGGGUGCACUGACACUGAGACACGAAAGCCAGGGGAGCGAACGGG